UACGAAGGGGGCUAGCGUUGUUCGGAAUUACUGGGCGUAAAGCGCACGUAGGCGGAUCAGCAAGUCAGGGGUGAAAUCCCGGGGCUCAACCUCGGAACUGCCUCUGAUACUGCUGAUCUAGAGUCCGGAAGAGGUGGGUGGAAUUCCUAGUGUAGAGGUGAAAUUCGCAGAUAUUAGGAAGAACACCGGUGGCGAAGGCGGCCCACUGGUCCGGUACUGACGCUGAGGUGCGAAAGCGUGGGGAGCAAACAGG
rnacentral:rRNA from 1 species